rnacentral:rRNA from 1 species
UCGAGAAUCUUUCACAAUGGGGGAAACCCUGAUGGAGCGACGCCGCGUGGAGGAUGAAGGUCUUCGGAUUGUAAACUCCUGUCAUGAGGGAACAAAGCCCGCGAGGGUGUGAUAGUACUUCAAGAGGAAGGGACGGCUAACUUCGUGCCAGCAGCCGCGGUAAUACGAAGGUCCCAAGCGUUGUUCGGAAUUACUGGGCGUAAAGGGAGCGUAGGCGGCGCGGAAAGUCAGAUGUGAAAUCCCGGGGCUCAACCCCGUAACUGCAUCCGAUACUUCCGUGCUUGAGGACUGGAGAGGAGUCUGGAAUUCACGGUGUAGCAGUGAAAUGCGUAGAUAUCGUGAGGAACACUAGUGGCGAAGGCGAGACUCUGGACAGUUCCUGACGCUGAGGCUCGAAGGCCAGGGGAGCGAAGGGG